rnacentral:rRNA from 1 species
AACAAACGCUGGCGGCGUGCCUAACACAUGCAAGUCGAACGCGAAAAUCGGCUUCGGCCGAUGAGUAAAGUGGCGCACGGGUGAGUAGCGCGUGGGUAAUCUGCCCCCCGGUCAGGAAUAACCCGCCGAAAGGCGGGCUAAUACCCGAUAACACUGACGCUCCGCGGAGCGUCUUUCAAAGGAGGCCUCUGUUUACAAGCUUUCGCCGGAGGAUGAGCCCGCGUACCAUUAGCUAGUUGGCAGGGUAAUGGCCUACCAAGGCUGCGAUGGUUAGCUGGUCUGAGAGGAUGGCCAGCCACACUGGAACUGAGACACGGUCCAGACUCCUACGGGAGGCAGCAGUGAGGAAUCUUGCGCAAUGGGGGAAACCCUGACGCAGCAACGCCGCGUGAGUGAGGAAGCCUUCGGUCGUAAGCUCUGUCAGAGUAGGGAAGAAAGUAGGGGUGGGGCGUAAUAUCGCCCACUCCUUCGUACGGUACCAUCAGAGGAAGCGACCGGACUAACU